UAGAGUUUGAUCCUGGCUCAGGGAUGAACGCUGGCGGCGUGCCUAACACAUGCAAGUCGAACGGUCUCCUUCGGGAGAUAGUGGCGCACGGGUGAGUAACACGUGGUUGACCUACCUCAAAGUCAGGGAUAACGUUCCGAAAGGAAUGCUAAUACCUUAUAAGCUCCCGGUGCUUAGAAAACUGGGAGAAAAGCUCCGGCGCUUUGAGAGGGGACUGCGCGUCAUCAGCUAGUUGGUAAGGUAACGGCUUACCAAGGCAACGACGACUAGGGGGCCUGAGAGGGUGACCCCCCACACUGGAACUGAGACACGGUCCAGACUCCUACGGGAGGCAGCAGUGAGGAAUAUUGCACAAUGGGCGCAAGCCUGAUGCAGCGACGCCGCGUGAGUGAUGAAGGCCUUCGGGUCGUAAAGCUCUUUUCUAGGUGACGAGAACGGACGGUAGCCUAGGAAUAAGUGUCGGCUAACUACGUGCCAGCAGCCGCGGUAAAACGUAGGACACAAGCGUUAUCCGGAGUUACUGGGCGUAAAGGGCGUGUAGGCGGAUUGGUAAGUCUGCUCUGAAAGCUCCUGGCUAAACUGGGAGAGGCGAGCGGAGACUGUCAGUCUAAGUGAGGAAAGAGAGAAGUGGAAUUCCGCGUGUAGUGGUGAAAUGCGUAGAGAUGCGGAGGAACACCAGUGGCGAAAAGCGGCUUCUUGGUCCUUAACUUGACGCUGAGGCGCGAAAGCAUGGGGAGCGAACGGGAUUAGAAAACCCCGGUAGUCCAUGCCCGUAAACGAUGUUCACCUUAAACGUUCGUUUCCCCGCGAGGGAAGCGGGUGUUGAAGCUAACGCAGUAAGUGAACCGCCUGGGGAGUACGGUCGCAAGGCUAAAACUCAAAGGAAUUGACGGGGGACCGCACAAGCAGCGGAGCGUGUGGUUUAAUUCGAGGCUACACGAAGAACCUUACCUAGGUUUGACAUCUUACUGAAGCCUGUGUGAAAGCAUGGGUGUCCCGCAAGGGACAGUAGGACAGGUGCUGCAUGGCUGUCGUCAGCUCGUGCCGUGAGGUGCUCGGUUAAGUCCGCAAACGAGCGCAACCCUCGGUGCCAGUCACAAGUGUCUGGCGCGACUGCCCGUGGCAAACGGGAGGAAGGUGGGGAUGACGUCAAGUCAGCAUGGCCUUUAUAUCUAGGGCGACACACACGCUACAAUGGCGUAUACAAUGGGUCGCGAAGCCGCGAGGUGGAGCCAAUCCUAAAAAGUACGUCUCAGUUCAGAUUGCAGGCUGCAACCCGCCUGCAUGAAGUUGGAGUUGCUAGUAACCGCGCGUCAGCAGAGUGCGGUGAAUACGUUCCCGGUCCUUGUACACACCGCCCGUCACGUCAUGAGAGCUGGUGACGCCUGAAGUCGGGAAGCUAACCGCAAGGGGGCUACUGCCGAGGGCAGCACUGGUGAUUGGGACGAAGUCGUAACAAGGUAGCUGUAGCGGAAGCUGCGGCUGGAUCACCUCC
rnacentral:rRNA from 1 species